rnacentral:rRNA from 1 species
GCCAGACUCCUACGGGAGGCAGCAGUGGGGGAUAUUGCACAAUGGGGGGAACCCUGAUGCAGCGACGCCGCGUGGGUGAAGAAGCGCCUCGGCGCGUAAAGCCCUGUCAGCAGGGAAGAAAAUGACGGUACCUGAAGAAGAAGCCCCGGCUAACUCCGUGCCAGCAGCCGCGGUAAUACGGAGGAUGCGAGCGUUAUCCGGAUUUAUUGGGUUUAAAGGGUGCGCAGGCGGCCUGUUAAGUCAGCGGUAAAAGCCCGGGGCUCACCCCCGGCGAGCCGUUGAAACUGGCGGGCUGGAGUUGGAGAGAAGUACGCGGAAUGCGCGGUGUAGCGGUGAAAUGCUUAGAUAUCGCGCAGAACCCCGAUUGCGAAGGCAGCGUACCGGCUCCACACUGACGCUGAGGCACGAAAGCGUGGGUAUCGAACAGGAUUAGAUACCCGAGUA